ensembl:lncRNA
UGUGAAAACUAAAAUGUUUAUUGAGCAGAAACAUGCUUUAAUCAAAAAUAUCUCUGGAACAGUAGCAAGGUCAAUGGGUCAAAGGUCAGAAUAUCUCUGGAACAGUAGCAAGGUCAAUGGGUCAAAGGUCAGAAUAUCUCUGGAACAGUAGCAAGGUCAAUGGGUCAAAGGUCAGAAUAUCUCUGGAACAGUAGCAAGGUCAAUGGGUCAAAGGUCAGAAUAUCUCUGGAACAGUAGCAAGGUCAAUGGGUCAAAGGUCAGAAUAUCUCUGGAACAGUAGCAAGGUCAAUGGGUCAGAGGUCAGCACCCCCCGAAACAAAACAAACGUAAAGAGUAGAAAGCAACAGCAAGCAGGGUUCGCUCUGCCAUGAUCACAUCUCAGGAGGGGUUAUAGGUGUCUGUAGUAGAGGAGGAGGAGGGUUAUAGGUGUCUGUAGUAGAGGAGGAGGAGGGGUUAUAGGUGUCUGUAGUAGAGGAGGAGGGGUUAUAGGUGUCUGUAGUAGAGGAGGAGGGGGUUAUAGGUGUCUGUAGUAGAGGAGGAGGGUUAUAGGUGUCUGUAGUAGAGGAGGAGGAGGGGUUAUAGGUGUCUGUAGUAGAGGAGGGGGUUAUAGGUGUCUGUAGUAGAGGAGGAGGAGGGGUUAUAGGUGUCUGUAGUAGAGGAGGAGGAGGGGUUAUAGGUGUCUGUAGUAGAGGAGGAGGGGUUAUAGGUGUCUGUAGUAGAGGAGGAGGGGUUAUAGGUGUCUGUAGUAGAGGAGGAGGGGGUUAUAGGUGUCUGUAGUAGAGGAGGAGGGGGUUAUAGGUGUCUGUAGUAGAGGAGGAGGGUUAUAGGUGUCUGUAGUAGAGGAGGAGGAGGGUUAUAGGUGUCUGUAGUAGAGGAGGAGGAGGGGUUAUAGGUGUCUGUAGUAGAGGGGGAGGAGGGGUUAUAGGUGUCUGUAGUAGAGGAGGAGGGGGGUUAUAGGUGUCUGUAGUAGAGGAGGGGGGUUAUAGGUGUCUGUAGUAGAGGAGGAGGGGUUAUAGGUGUCUGUGUCUUAGUAGAGGGAGGGGUUAUAGGUGUCUGUAGUAGAGGAGGAGGGGUUAUAGGUGUCUGUAGUAGAGGAGGAGGGGUUAUAGGUGUCUGUAGUAGAGGAGGAGGGGUUAUAGGUGUCUGUAGUAGAGGAGGAGGAGGGGUUAUAGGUGUCUGUAGUAGAGGAGGAGGAGGGGUUAUAGGUGUCUGUAGUAGAGGAGGAGGAGGGGUUAUAGGUGUCUGUAGUAGAGGAGGAGGGGUUAUAGGUGUCUGUAGUAGAGGAGGAGGGUUAUAGGUGUCUGUAGUAGAGGAGGGGGAGGGUUAUAGGUGUCUGUAGUAGAGGAGGAGGGGUUAUAGGUGUCUGUAGUAGAGGAGGAGGGGUUAUAGGUGUCUGUAGUAGAGGAGGAGGGGUUAUAGGUGUCUGUAGUAGAGGAGGAGGAGGGUUAUAGGUGUCUGUAGUAGCGAGGGGGUCCAUAGUGCAUGGGCAUGUUGACGUCUAUAUUGUUCAGGUUGUUGUUGACCUGGUUGGGGGGUGG